ensembl:lncRNA
UUCUUCAUCAGUCGUGAAUAACUGGUUGAUUUAUCUUUUCCAGAAGAAUCCCUCUGAUGAGCGUGGAAGCAGUCCUGCACCAAAGCCCCUUCGCAAUCGUGACAACAGGGAGCCAAAGGAGCCCAAAAAGGCGAAGAAAGCGCCGCCCGAAGCCAAGAAAUCGCAAAGACUUGGAGGAACCAAGCUCCAGUUCGGCCAAUACAAAGGCAAGACCUUCAAAUGGGUGAUGCAGAACGAUCGUCAGUACGCUGUUUAUCUGGUGGGCUCUCACCAGAGCGAGAUCGAUGACGGGAAAAAGAUUUUGUUCAACAAGGAGAACAAGGACGCUCUGGCUGAAUACGUGUCCCCUUUCCCUGGUGUUAUGGAGGCGGUGCACUUCUACAGAGAGGGAGUGGCUCCUGUGGGAUUCGGCAAAUAUGAAAGUGAAACUCGAAAGGAUUUGUACAACUCCAAGGAAGAGGCAAAGAAGGGCUAUGUGGCAUGGGUCCGGUCAAUGGAGAAUACUGGAGGAGGAGAGAUGAUGAUGGCCAUGAUAAAGUACAUCCUUUAUCGCGACAAAAUGGCUUCUGUCUCCGCUGGCUCCAAGGCUGGACCUCAGGGGAGGAGCUCCACCCGGGAGAGAGCACCUCCAGAGCCCAGCUCCCAGCCCGCUGCGAAGAAACAACGGCUCUGACUGAAACAUCUUCAAACUGGAAACUGGGAAAUUAAGCAUUUUAGACCCGUCUUAGGUGUAGAAAUUUAACAUUUUAAAAUGUCAUUGACUGGAUUGAUUGAGUUGAGGAUGCUUCUGAAGACGUGAAAUAUCCUGGAAAAAGCUGCCAAGAAAUUAGUUAAAUGCUUUAAAGAAAUAACUAACUGUUCUGAUCUGAGGUCGCUGCAGUUGGUCAGGUUUAGGUUCAGCAACACAAUGAGCUCAAAGAAUGAGAUCAGCUGAACAUCCUGAAUGACCUGGUUAUUCCAUCAAUGGGAUUCUUCUUCCCUGAUGGCGCUGGCUGAUUCCAAAAUGACAAUGCCAGGAUUCACCGAGCUCACAUUGUGAAAGAGUGGUUCAGGGAGCAAAGGCAGUAUGAGGUCAUACCGCCUUUGCUCUGCCCGAUCCCGUCAGAAACUUGGAAGCUAAGCAGGAAAGGGCCUGGUCGCUACUUGGAUGGGAGACCGUUUGGUAACACGAGGAAGCCUGGGGCGAAUGUAGUGAGUGAGUGGUUGGUGGUGGUUGGAGGGGCCGAUGGCGCAGACUGGUUGCCUCGCGUCCGUCAGUCUACCCCAGGGCAGCUGUGGCUACAAUAGUAGCUUAUCACCACCAAGUAUGGAGUGAAUGAAUAAUGCAAUGUAAAGCGUCUUUGAGUGUCCAGAAAAGCGCUAUAUUCAACCGAUGCAUUAUUAUUAUUAUUAUUAUAUUAUAUUAUUAUUAUUAUAAGAUGGUGUGGCCACAGAAUCCAGAUCUUAACCCCAUUGAGAAUCCUUGGGAUGCGCUGGCGAAGGCUUUGCAAAGUGGUCACACUCUCCCAUCAUCAAGUCACGAUUGGUGAAAAAUGUACAGCAUUGCAGAAGCUUAAUGAAACAAUGUCACAGCGAAUGCGAACUGUAAUCAAAGCUAAACGCAGUCCAACAAAAUACUUUUUGUAGCCACAUUUUACAUUAUAUUAUGUUUUAACCUGAGAUGCAGAAAGAGCUAAAGUUUAUACAGUGGAGACAAUCAACACUGCACAACAUUUAAGGAGAAUUAGACGCCUGCAUUUCUUGAUCGAAAAUUUUGAGAGAAUCAACAAUUCCUAACUCAACCAACCCAGUCUAGGUGAUACUACAGUAUGUUAGUGUAUUUAUUUAUUUAUUUGUUUUGAAAAAUGGGUUUACAUUUUUAUUGAAUUUUAUUUUUUACAUUUAAGGGGCAAAAAUAAAAUAAAAGCAAAUAAUUACUGCUCAAAGGGAAAGUAAAUACAUUUAAAACAUUUUAUUUUUUAAUUAGACUUACAUUACAAGACAAUGAGAAAACACCUGGACGAUCUAAGAUGCAUAUAUCCCACAUCCGAUCAUCGCCUCAGCUUCAGCUCCUCCGCCUCAGCCAAGCAUCUCCCAGCACCCUGCUCUCCUCAUCCUCCGCCAGUGUCCGGACUCUGCAGGGAAAACAUCGCAUCCCCUCAUCCAUCAUGUUCAUGCAUAUGCUUCUUGUUAGAUAAUGUCUUCUGCCGGGGUUUGAGUGCCGCAUACACGCUCAAUAAAGCUUCCAUCAAGC